rnacentral:rRNA from 1 species
UACGAAGGGGGCUAGCGUUGUUCGGAUUUACUGGGCGUAAAGCGCACGUAGGCGGAUCGUUAAGUCGGGGGUGAAAUCCUGGAGCUCAACUCCAGAACUGCCUUCGAUACUGGCGAUCUUGAGUCCGGAAGAGGUGAGUGGAAUUCCGAGUGUAGAGGUGAAAUUCGUAGAUAUUCGGAGGAACACCAGUGGCGAAGGCGGCUCACUGGCUCGAUACUGACGCUGAGGUGCGAAAAGCGUGGGGGAGCAAACAGG